GACGAACGCUGGCGGCGUGCUUAACACAUGCAAGUCGAGCGGUAAGGCCCUUUCGGGGGUACACGAGCGGCGAACGGGUGAGUAACACGUGGGUGACCUGCCUUUAGCUCUGGGAUAAGCCUGGGAAACUGGGUCUAAUACCGGAUAUGACCCUAUGGCGCAUGUUGUGGGGUGGAAAGCCUUGUGCGGCUAGGGAUGGGCCCGCGGCCUAUCAGCUUGUUGGUGGGGUGAUGGCCUACCAAGGCGACGACGGGUAGCCGGCCUGAGAGGGCGACCGGCCACACUGGGACUGAGACACGGCCCAGACUCCUACGGGAGGCAGCAGUGGGGAAUCUUGCGCAAUGGGCGAAAGCCUGACGCAGCGACGCCGCGUGAGGGAUGACGGCCUCGGUUGUAACGU
rnacentral:rRNA from 1 species